rnacentral:rRNA from 1 species
GAUGAACGCUGGCGGCGUGCCUAAUACAUGCAAGUCGAGCGAACGGACGAGAAGCUUGCUUCUCUGAUGUUAGCGGCGGACGGGUGAGUAACACGUGGAUAACCUACCUAUAAGACUGGGAUAACUUCGGGAAACCGGAGCUAAUACCGGAUGAUAUUUUGAACCGCAUGGUUCAAAAGUGAAAGACGGUCUUGCUGUCACUUAUAGAUGGAUCCGCGCUGCAUUAGCUAGUUGGUAAGUUAACGGCUUACCAAGGCAACGAUGCAUAGCCGACCUGAGAGGGUGAUCGGCCACACUGGAACUGAGACACGGUCCAGACUCCUACGGGAGGCAGCAGUAGGGAAUCUUCCGCAAUGGGCGAAAGCCUGACGGAGCAACGCCGCGUGAGUGAUGAAGGUCUUCGGAUCGUAAAACUCUGUUAUUAGGGAAGAACAUAUGUGUAAGUAACUGUGCACAUCUUGACGGUACCUAAUCAGAAAGCCACGGCUAACUACGUG